UGAAACAAAACAGAACAAAUUUAAACAAUUACGUGAGUCUAUUGUUUGAAAACAAAAUGAUGCUACUUCACAGAAAAUAGGAAAUUCCAAAUUGUUCGCGUGCAGCAAUUCAUGCAUGCAUCUCCAAUUCACGUUUCUUAUACAAACAAAUCACUUUUGUGAAGUUUACAGCCUGAAAAACUAAAAUCACGAAAACCAACAUAGAGGGAGGAUAGAGAAGAAAGGAGAAUCCGGAAAUGAUUUAACAGAAUGAAGAAGAAUAACUUUGAUUGGUUGGGUGAUCUUAAAGACUUAGAAAAUACCUGUUAGAAGCUGUUGUUUGAAAAGGAGCGAAGUGUCAAUGUACUGUGAAGAGGAAAAUAAAAAUAAUAAAAUUCCAAUAAACGAAA